GACUACUCUUGUAGGAGGUGAUAUCAAUGU
rnacentral:piRNA from 1 species